GGCGCGUUCGUCUAAUGGUUAGGACACCAGGCUUUCAAUCUGGUAAUACGGGUUCGAUUCCCGUACGCGCUA
rnacentral:tRNA from 2 species